rnacentral:rRNA from 1 species
GAUGAACGCUAGCUACAGGCUUAACACAUGCAAGUCGCGGGGCAGCAUGAAUUUAGCUUGCUAAAUUUGAUGGCGACCGGCGCACGGGUGAGUAACGCGUAUCCAACCUGCCCAUGUCCACGGGAUAGCCCGUCGAAAGGCGGAUUAAUACCGUAUGAGGUCACACGAUGGCAUCAGACUGUGACGAAAGGUUUAGCGGACAUGGAUGGGGAUGCGUCCGAUUAGCUAGUUGGCGGGGUAACGGCCCACCAAGGCGACGAUCGGUAGGGGUUCUGAGAGGAAGGUCCCCCCACAUUGGGAACUGAGACACGGUCCAAACUCCUACGGGAGGCAGCAGUGAGGAAUAUUGGUCAAUGGGCGUGAGCCUGAACCAGCCAAGUAGCGUGCA